GCUGGGGGGCGGUGGUGCGUGCCUGUAGUCCCAGCUACUCGGGAGGCUGAGGUGGGAGGAUCGCUUGAGCCCAGGAGUUCUGGGCUGCAGUGCGCUAUGCCGAUCGGGUGUCUGCACUAAGUUCAGCAUCAAUACGGUGACCUCCUGGGAGCGGGAGACCACCAGGUUGCCUAAGAAGGGGUGAACCGGCCCAGGUCGGAAGUGGAGCAGGUCAAAACUCCUGUGCUCAUCAGUGGUGUAAUCAAGCUUGUGAAUAGCCACUGCACUCCAGCCUGGGCAACAAGAGCAAAACUCUGGCUCA
rnacentral:SRP_RNA from 1 species